rnacentral:rRNA from 1 species
UACGUAGGGGGCUAGCGUUGUCCGGAAUCAUUGGGCGUAAAGCGCGUGUAGGCGGUCCGGUAAGUCCGCUGUGAAAGUCGGGGGCUCAACCCUCGGAUGCCGGUGGAUACUGUCGGGCUUGAGUACGGAAGAGGCGAGUGGAAUUCCUGGUGUAGCGGUGAAAUGCGCAGAUAUCAGGAGGAACACCAAUUGCGAAGGCAGCUCGCUGGGACGUUACUGACGCUGAGACGCGAAAGCGUGGGGAGCAAACAGGAUUAGAUACCGGA